CAAGUACUCCCUCCGUCCAGAAUUACUUGUCAUCAAAAUGGAUGUGUCUAGAACUAAAAUACAUCUAGAUACAUCCAUUUCAAUGACAAGUAUUUUCAGACGGAGGGAGUACAAG
rnacentral:pre_miRNA from 1 species